GUCUUCCCUCGCCAUGUGAUUCCAAUGUCUGGAGUCAAAAAUAUUAAACAAUCCUUGCUUUAAAGUUUGAUCCAGUUUGCACAAUUGGGUGAAAAAUAACUUUUGGAUCAAAAAGUGUUUCAUCAAAAUUUAUUUAGAGGGCAAUAUUUUGGAUAAGUUACUGAACUAAAGGAUCCAAAAGGAAUAAAGAUUUGGAAAAAGUGAUUCAACCAAGUUUUGAAAAAUUUGACCAUAAUUUCUCUUCUGAAAAAGUUUAUUUGUAAUUAUGUUGUUAUUUAACUUGUAAUUAGUGUAAAAUAAACCUUUUUGAUGUUUUAACUUCUUUGU